rnacentral:rRNA from 1 species
AGAGUUUGAUCCUGGCUCAGGACGAACGCUGGCGGCGUGCCUAAUACAUGCAAGUAGAACGCUGAAGAGAGGAGCUUGCUCUUCUUGGAUGAGUUGCGAACGGGUGAGUAACGCGUAGGUAACCUGCCUUGUAGCGGGGGAUAACUAUUGGAAACGAUAGCUAAUACCGCAUAACAAUGGAUGACCCAUGUCAUUUAUUUGAAAGGGGCAAAUGCUCCACUACAAGAUGGACCUGCGUUGUAUUAGCUAGUAGGUGAGGUAACGGCUCACCUAGGCGACGAUACAUAGCCGACCUGAGAGGGUGAUCGGCCACACUGGGACUGAGACACGGCCCAGACUCCUACGGGAGGCAGCAGUAGGGAAUCUUCGGCAAUGGGGGCAACCCUGACCGAGCAACGCCGCGUGAGUGAAGAAGGUUUUCGGAUCGUAAAGCUCUGUUGUAAGUCAAGAACGAGUGUGAGAGUGGAAAGUUCACACUGUGACGGUAGCUUACCAGAAAGGGACGGCUAACUACGUGCCAGCAGCCGCGGUAAUACGUAGGUCCCGAGCGUUGUCCGGAUUUAUUGGGCGUAAAGCGAGCGCAGGCGGUUUGAUAAGUCUGAAGUUAAAGGCUGUGGCUCAACCAUAGUUCGCUUUGGAAACUGUCAAACUUGAGUGCAGAAGGGGAGAGUGGAAUUCCAUGUGUAGCGGUGAAAUGCGUAGAUAUAUGGAGGAACACCGGUGGCGAAAGCGGCUCUCUGGUCUGUAACUGACGCUGAGGCUCGAAAGCGUGGGGAGCAAACAGGAUUAGAUACCCUGGUAGUCCACGCC